UGGGGAAUUUUGGACAAUGGGGGAAACCCUGAUCCAGCCAUCCCGCGUGUGCGAUGAAGGCCUUCGGGUUGUAAAGCACUUUUGGCAGGAAAGAUACGUCAUGGGUUAAUACCCCGUGAAACUGACGGUACCUGCAGAAUAAGCACCGGCUAACUACGUGCCAGCAGCCGCGGUAAUACGUAGGGUGCAAGCGUUAAUCGGAAUUACUGGGCGUAAAGCGUGCGCAGGCGGUUCGGAAAGAAAGAUGUGAAAUCCCAGAGCUCAACUUUGGAACUGCAUUUUUAACUACCGGGCUAGAGUGUGUCAGAGGGAGGUGGAAUUCCGCGUGUAGCAGUGAAAUGCGUAGAUAUGCGGAGGAACACCGAUGGCGAAGGCAGCCUCCUGGGAUAACACUGACGCUCAUGCACGAAAGCGUGGGGAGCAAACAGGA
rnacentral:rRNA from 1 species